rnacentral:rRNA from 1 species
CCCUGACAUCGGGAUAACCCCGGGAAACCCGGACUAAUACCGAAUAAGGUGCGGAGUCGCUGGACGCCGUACCAAAGGUAGCUUCGGCCUCCGGUCAGGGACGAGCCCGCGGCCCAUUAGCUUGUUGGUGAGGUAACGGCUCACUAAGGCGACGAUGGGUAGCUGGUCUGAGAGGACGAUCAGCCACACUGGGACUGAGACACGGCCCAGACUCCUACGGGAGGCAGCAGUGGGGAAUAUUGCGCAAUGGGCGUAAGCCUGACGCAGCAACGCCGCGUGCGGGAAGAAGGCCCUCGGGUUGUAAACCGCUUUCAGAAGGAA